GCUGCGCCGGGGCCCGGCUGCCCUGGGCGGCCGCGGGCAGAGCCCGUCCGGGCUGGUGCAGCCCGCACAGCGUCCCCGAGCGGAGAAAACGGGUCCGUCUCCCCAGAGGCAGAACCCGCUUCUCUUGUUUGCUACCCGACACCUGUUGCUCCGCAAAUACCCUCACUCCCUUCUAAAUGCUCUUCUCAUUUGAUCCCCAUUAAUCUCAUUCCGUAGCCUCUUCCCCCUCUUAAGCCAGCCUACACGCUGUUGGAGCAUCUGUCCAACUGGACGCUUCCUAUUUAAGAUAAAAGUGCUGUUAAGUUGUGAAUAUCAGUGGUUAGAUCCUCACGGGAGAGCGUCUGAUGAGAGUUCAUGCACUCAGAGUUCUACAAUCUGCUUGGACUACUACAACUUUCCUGAAGAUACUUGAGGCUGUGGGAUAGAAUCCAGAACUGUUUUUAAGUAUCACUCUGAACUUCCAUAUGUCAAUAUAUUUCCCCCCAUUUUUUUAGCAAUGACUGUGUUAGCAUUUGAUCAUAGUACAAACUGGUGUUUCUGGGUCAGCGUGCCUGACAGAACACAAUCAAAACGGAGAGUGUACAGAUCUUAUCAUCGUCCCUGGACAAAGGCUUUAUGACUUUAUUUAUACUGCAGCUAAGGCUAGAAGACAUGGCUUAAUUUUAAAGUGCUACCGGCAUUAAUAAAUCAAUUAUCAAUGA